rnacentral:rRNA from 1 species
GAGCUUGCUCCCGGAUGUUAGCGGCGGACGGGUGAGUAACACGUGGGUAACCUGCCUGUAAGACUGGGAUAACUCCGGGAAACCGGAGCUAAAUACCGGAUAGUUCCUUGAACCGCAUGGUUCAAGGAUGAAAGACGGUUUCGGCUGUCACUUACAGAUGGACCCGCGGCGCAUUAGCUAGUUGGUGAGGUAACGGCUCACCAAGGCGACGAUGCGUAGCCGACCUGAGAGGGUGAUCGGCCACACUGGGACUGAGACACGGCCCAGACUCCUACGGGAGGCAGCAGUAGGGAAUCUUCCGCAAUGGACGAAAGUCUGACGGAGCAACGCCGCGUGAGUGAUGAAGGUUUUCGGAUCGUAAAGCUCUGUUGUUAGGGAAGAACAAGUGCAAGAGUAACUGCUUGCACCUUGACGGUACCUAACCAGAAAGCCACGGCUAACUACGUGCCAGCAGCCGCGGUAAUACGUAGGUGGCAAGCGUUGUCCGGAAUUAUUGGGCGUAAAGGGCUCGCAGGCGGUUUCUUAAGUCUGAUGUGAAAGCCCCCGGCUCAACCGGGGAGGGUCAUUGGAAACUGGGAAACUUGAGUGCAGAAAGAGGAGAGUGGAAUUCCACGUGUAGCGGUGAAAUGCGUAGAGAAUGUGGAAGG